GAUGAAGAACGUAGCGAAAUGCGAUAAGUAGUGUGAAUUGCAGAAUUCAGUGAAUCAUCGAAUCUUUGAACGCACAUUGCGCCCUUUGGUAUUCCUUAGGGCAUGCCUGUUCGAGCGUCAUUUAAACCUUCAAGCUCAGCUUGGUGAUGGGUGACUGUCCUCCCCUCGCGGGGGGACUCGCCUCAAAAACAUUGGCGGCCGGUACAUUGGCUUCGAGCGCAGCAGAAACGCGGUCUCGAGUCCGGUGGAUCGGCUCCCAUAAGUCUAUUCUUUUAUUUUGACCUUGGAUCAGGUAGGGAUACCCGCUGAACUUAAGCAUAUCAAUAAGCGGAGGA
rnacentral:misc_RNA from 1 species